rnacentral:rRNA from 1 species
AUGCGUUUUGUGCGGCGCAUCCAAGAGUCUGAGGUGAAGGAGGCUUUAAAAAGGAUGAAAGGAGGCAAGGCGAUGGGCCCUGAUUGUAUCCCCAUUGAGGUGUGGAAAGGUCUCGGGGACAUAGCGAUAGUAUGGCUAACCAAGCUUUUCAACCUCAUUUUUCGGGCAAACAAGAUGCCAGAAGAAUGGAGACGGAGUAUAUUAGUACCAAUCUUCAAGAACAAGGGGGAUGUUCAGAGUUGUACUAAUUACCGUGGAAUUAAGCUGAUGAGCCGUACAAUGAAGCUAUGGGAGAGAGUCAUUGAGCACCGCUUAAGAAGAAUGACAAGCGUGACCAAAAAUCAGUUUGGUUUCAUGCCUGGGAGGUCGACCAUGGAAGCCAUUUUCUUGGUAUGA